GAUGAACGCUGACAGAAUGCUUAACACAUGCAAGUCUACUUGAACUUCGGUUUGGGUGGCGGACGGGUGAGUAACGCGUAAAGAACUUGCCUCACAGUUAGGGACAACAUUUGGAAACGAAUGCUAAUACCUGAUAUUAUGAUUUUAGGGCAUCCUAAGAUUAUGAAAGCUAUAUGCGCUGUGAGAGAGCUUUGCGUCCCAUUAGCUAGUUGGAGAGGUAACGGCUCACCAAGGCGAUGAUGGGUAGCCGGCCUGAGAGGGUGAACGGCCACAAGGGGACUGAGACACGGCCCUUACUCCUACGGGAGGCAGCAGUGGGGAAUAUUGGACAAUGGACCAAAAGUCUGAUCCAGCAAUUCUGUGUGCACGAUGACGUUUUUCGGAAUGUAAAGUGCUUUCAGUUGGGAAGAAAAAAAUGACGGUACCAACAGAAGAAGUGACGGCUAAAUACGUGCCAGCAGCCGCGGUAAUACGUAUGUCACAAGCGUUAUCCGGAUUUAUUGGGCGUAAAGCGCGUCUAGGUGGUUAUGUAAGUCUGAUGUGAAAAUGCAGGGCUCAACUCUGUAUUGCGUUGGAAACUGCAUGACUAGAGUACUGGAGAGGUAAGCGGAACUACAAGUGUAGAGGUGAAAUUCGUAGAUAUUUGUAGGAAUGCCGAUGGGGAAGCCAGCUUACUGGACAGAUACUGACGCUUAAGCGCGAAAGCGUGGGUAGCAAACAGG
rnacentral:rRNA from 1 species